rnacentral:rRNA from 1 species
UACGAAGGGGGCUAGCGUUGCUCGGAAUCACUGGGCGUAAAGGGUGCGUAGGCGGGUCUUUAAGUCAGGGGUGAAAUCCUGGAGCUCAACUCCAGAACUGCCUUUGAUACUGAAGAUCUUGAGUUCGGGAGAGGAGAGUGGAAUUCCUGGUGUAGCGGUGGAAUGCGCAGAUAUCAGGAAGAACACCCGUGGCGAAGGCGGCUCUCUGGAACGCAACUGACGCUGAGACGCGAAAGCGUGGGGAGCAAACAGG